GACGAACGCUGGCGGCGUGCUUAACACAUGCAAGUCGAGCGGUAAGGCCCUUUCGGGGGUACACGAGCGGCGAACGGGUGAGUAACACGUGGGUGACCUGCCCUCAGCUCUGGGAUAAGCCUGGGAAACUGGGUCUAAUACCGGAUAUGACUCCAUGACGCAUGUUGUGGGGUGGAAAGCCUUGUGCGGCUGAGGAUGGGCCCGCGGCCUAUCAGCUUGUUGGUGGGGUGAUGGCCUACCAAGGCGACGACGGGUAGCCGGCCUGAGAGGGCGACCGGCCACACUGGGACUGAGACACGGCCCAGACUCCUACGGGAGGCAGCAGUGGGGAAUCUUGCGCAAUGGGCGAAAGCCUGACGCAGCGACGCCGCGUGAGGGAUGACGGCCU
rnacentral:rRNA from 1 species